rnacentral:rRNA from 1 species
AGUGAACGCUGGCGGCAGGCCUAACACAUGCAAGUCGAACGGCAGCACAGUAAGAGCUUGCUCUUACGGGUGGCGAGUGGCGGACGGGUGAGGAAUACAUCGGAAUCUACUUUUUCGUGGGGGAUAACGUAGGGAAACUUACGCUAAUACCGCAUACGACCUACGGGUGAAAGCAGGGGAUCUUCGGACCUUGCGCGAUUGAAUGAGCCGAUGUCGGAUUAGCUAGUUGGCGGGGUAAAGGCCCACCAAGGCGACGAUCCGUAGCUGGUCUGAGAGGAUGAUCAGCCACACUGGAACUGAGACACGGUCCAGACUCCUACGGGAGGCAGCAGUGGGGAAUAUUGGACAAUGGGCGCAAGCCUGAUCCAGCCAUACCGCGUGGGUGAAGAAGGCCUUCGGGUUGUAAAGCCCUUUUGUUGGGAAAGAAAAGCAGCAGGUUAAUACCCCGCUGCUCUGACGGUACCCAAAGAAUAAGCACCGGCUAACUUCGUG